rnacentral:tRNA from 1 species
UGUGGGGUGGAGCAGCGGUAGCUCGCCGGUCUCAUAAGCCGGAGGUCGCCAGUUCGAACCUGGCCCCCGCAACCA